rnacentral:tRNA from 1 species
GUUUUAAUAAUUUAAAAUAAAAUAUUGAUUUUGUAAAUCAAAAAUAAGUAUUAACUUUUAAAACU